AUUGAACGCUGGCGGCAGGCCUAACACAUGCAAGUCGAGCGGAGCGGCGGACGGGUGAGUAAUGCCUAGGUAUGUGUCUGGCAGAGGGGGAUAACGACCGGCAACGGGCGCUAACUCCGCAUACUCUCAGUUGAGUCUAGGUCGGAUUAGCUAGUUGGUGGGGUAAAGGCUUACCAAGGCGACGAUCCCUAACUGGUCGGAGAGGAUGAUCAGUCACACUGGAACUGAGACACGGCCCAGACUCCUACGGGAGGCAGCAGUGGGGAAUAUUGCACAAUGGGCGAAAGCCUGAUGCAGCCAUGCCGCGUGUGUGAAGAAGGUCUUCGGAUUGUAAAGUACUUUAAGUUGGGAGGCGUUACCAACAGAAUAAGCACCGGCUAACUUCGUGCCAGCAGCCGCGGUAAUAC
rnacentral:rRNA from 1 species